GGUGGAAGGAGAGAACCGCAUAACAAAAUCAUUGCUGAGGCCUGAGUGUGGUUCUUUAGCUGUAAGCACUCCAAAUCAUUGAAAAAGCCUCAGGUGCCUUCUUCCCGUAUUUGCAGAACUUCUCUCAAGAGCUUCAAAAGCUUGAGGAGUAUCACAUGAACCAGAAAUCCAUUGAUUCAAUGGUAGGAUAGAG